rnacentral:rRNA from 1 species
CCUACGGGGAGCAGCAGUGAGGAAUAUUGGUCAAUGGCCGGAAGUCUGAACCAGCCAAGCCGCGUGCAGGAAGACGGCUCUAUGAGUUGUAAACUGCUUUUGUACAAGGGUAAAGCUGAACACGUGUAUUUAGUUGCAUGUACUGUAUGAAUAAGGAUCGGCUAACUCCGUGCCAGCAGCCGCGGUAAUACGGAGGAUGCGAGCGUUAUCCGGAUUUAUUGGGUUUAAAGGGUGCGUAGGUUGAUUGAUAAGUUAGCGGUGAAAGUUUGUGGCUUAACUAGAGAACUGCCGUUGAUACUGGAAGACUUGAGAGUGUUUGCGGUAGGCGGAAUGUAUGGUGUAGCGGUGAAAUGCAUAGAGAUCAUACAGAACACCGAUUGCGAAGGCAGCUUACCAAGCUAUAACUGACACUGAAGCACGAAAGCGUGGGGAUCAAACAGGAUUAGAUACCCGGGUAGUC